AACGAACGCUGGCGGCGUGCCUAAUACAUGCAAGUCGAGCGGACAGAAGGGAGCUUGCUCCCGGAAGUUAGCGGCGGACGGGUGAGUAACACGUGGGCAACCUACCCUGUAGAUCGGGAUAACAUCGAGAAAUCGGUGCUAAUACCGGAUAAUCAUUUGAAGUGCAUGCUUCGAAUGUAGAAGAUGGCUCCGGCUAUCACUACGGGAUGGGCCCGCGGCGCAUUAGCUAGUUGGUAAGGUAAUGGCUUACCAAGGCAACGAUGCGUAGCCGACCUGAGAGGGUGAUCGGCCACACUGGGACUGAGACACGGCCCAGACUCCUACGGGAGGCAGCAGUAGGGAAUCUUCCGCAAUGGACGAAAGUCUGACGGAGCAACGCCGCGUGAGUGAUGAAGGUUUUCGGAUCGUAAAGCUCUGUUGUUAGGGAAGAACAAGUGCCGUUUGAAUAAGGCGGCACCUUGACGGUACCUAACCAGAAAGCCACGGCUAACUACGUGCCAGCAGCCGCAGUAACAC
rnacentral:rRNA from 1 species